AGAACGAACGCUGGCGGCAUGCCUAACACAUGCAAGUCGAACGUGAUCCAGGCUUCGGCCUGGUGAAAGUGGCAGACGGGUGAGUAACGCGUGGGAACCUGCCCUGUGGUAGGGAAUAACCGUGGGAAACUGCGGCUAAUACCCUAUGAGUCCUUCGGGAGAAAGAUUUAUCGCCAUAGGAGGGGCCCGCGUCGGAUUAGGUAGUUGGUGGGGUAACGGCCUACCAAGCCUUCGAUCCGUAGCUGGUCUGAGAGGAUGAUCAGCCACACUGGGACUGAGACACGGCCCAAACUCCUACGGGAGGCAGCAGUGGGGAAUAUUGGACAAUGGGCGAAAGCCUGAUCCAGCCAUGCCGCGUGAGUGAUGACGGCCUUAGGGUUGUAAAGCUCUUUCGUCAGGGACGAUAAUGACGGUACCUGAAGAAGAAGCCCGGCUAACUUCGCGCCAGCAGCCGC
rnacentral:rRNA from 1 species